rnacentral:rRNA from 1 species
UACUAUAGCCAUAUCACGUUAAAUGAACUGGUUUUCAUCUGAUAACCAAAGUUAAGCCUAGUUGGUACUUAGAUAGGUGACCGCUCGGGAAACCUACGUGCUGUAAGCA